rnacentral:rRNA from 1 species
AUUGAACGCUGGCGGCAUGCUUUACACAUGCAAGUCGAACGGCAGCACGGGGCAACCUGGUGGCGAGUGGCGAACGGGUGAGUAAUGCAUCGGAACGUGCCAUUGAGUGGGGGAGUAACGUAGCGAAAGUUAGCGCUAAUACCGCAUAUUCUGUGCGCAGGAAAGCAGGGGACCGGCAAGGCCUUGCGCUCUUUGAGCGGCCGAUGUCAGAUUAGCUAGUUGGUGAGGUAACGGCUUACCAAGGCGACGAUCUGUAGCGGGUCUGAGAGGAUGAUCCGCCACACUGGAACUGAGACACGGUCCAGACUCCUACGGGAGGCAGCAGUGGGGAAUUUUGGACAAUGGGCGGCAAGCCUGAUCCAGCCAUGCCGCGUGAGUGAAGAAGG